AAAAAAAAGUAACACGACGACGACGCUAUCUCAGUUCAGUUCAACACAGCAGCACUGCCUCUGUCUCCCCUCUGCUCCCAAUCCAUGGCUGCUCCGCCGCGGCGAAACCCCAACCACGGCGGCAAGAGGAAGGAUGAGGAGCCGUGGCUCGCGGCGGGCAUCCGCCCGGCCAACUUCCUCCCGGGCCUGGCCAUCGGGUUCCUCCUCGGCCUCUCCUCCUCCUGGAGGCCGAGGAUCAGCCUCCCGUCUGCCCCGGCGCCACGGGGCUCCAAGCGGGCCGCCGUCGGUUCGUCCGCCGCCCCAGCACCAGGCGAAGAGCUCAAGAUGGUUUUAGUUGUGCGUCAGGAUCUUAAGAUGGGGGCUGGGAAAAUAGCGUCUCAAUGUGCCCAUGCGGCAACUGGCUUGUACGCGGAUCUGUUGGCAAGCAACCGAGUUCUUUUGAGACAAUGGGAACAGUUCGGACCAUGCAAGAAUCAACAGGAAAUGAACAGGAUAAAGGAAACUGCAGAACACCGAGGUAUCCCAACUUUUGUUGUUGCAGAUGCAGGUCGCACACAGGUACUGGCUGGGUCUAAGACAGUUCUUGCAGUAGGGCCAGGGAGGAAAGCAGACAUAGAUUCAGUUACUGGGAAAUUGCGCUUACUGUGAGCUGCAUCUUGGGCAUGAACAUCCACCACAGUCCGGUUUUAUCAUCCCGGUUUGAGAACCGGAAUGCUUUGGUUCGGCCAGGAGCAUCAGCCCGGUUUUAUCAUCUCGUGCAAGCGCCGCCUGCUCUUUUGCCGUCUCUUUUUGCACCGAUGGAUACGUACGGCGACGAGUGGUUUACACGUCCGAAAGCAAAGCAAAGCAGAGCACAUAAACCGGCGUCCGGGCUGAUCAAUCGGUAGCAUGGCACUGUGGGCAUAUGAUGGUCGGCAGCGCUGCCGUGCCAUGCGCCCAACUUAUUUUCCUGCACGACGGGAGUGCCUGCCCGAAUAUGGAGCCCCGGCCGGCAGUAGGAACAGGGGGUUGUAUAGAAACAGAGCUUACGGUAGAAGAAUAGAAAAAAGAUACUGGGCCGUUGGAUCAGCCACGUACGCCACAGAUUCCAGAGGAUGGAUCUGUACUCAUAACUACACAACUCUGUGCAAAAACGUCCCCUUUUUCCCAACUAAUUUGCUUUAGGUCCCUCUCCUUCAAAACGACUCUCCCUGUCGCUCGCUCCCCUGUUCCCCAAUCUCGUGGCGGCUGCCUAGAUAAGCAGAUCCGGUGCUUCCGUGGUGGACGACGGCACCUUCUCCCUGCCUCCUCCCAUCCUACUCCGGCAUCCACGUUGCUUGGCUCCGUCCCCAGGCAUCUCCUCGCCUCCUUGGCCUCGCAGGAUUAGCAACAAGAUUUAGCUCCAAAGCGCCUCACCUGUGGUUUUAAUUAUAUCUGCUGAAACGGUCAAGCCCACUGCAUUUAUUUUCAAAGGAGUGAAGAGAGAGUCAGAGCAAAAAUACACGAGCAGAGUAGAUUUUGGUGAGAGCCUGAGAAAACUGAAUAUUUGGCAUGCGUAUACGGAUGUCGUGUGGUGUGUCGCAACCUUGUGAUACAGGAACAUCCUAUUAGUGGUUCUCGUU